rnacentral:rRNA from 1 species
UACAGAGGGUGCAAGCGUUGCUCGGAUUUACUGGGCGUAAAGCGUACGCAGACGGCCACGCAGGUCGGGUGUGAAAGCCCCGGGCUCAACCCGGGAAUUGCAUUCGAAACCAUGUGGCUCGAGUAUGGGAGAGGGAAGUGGAAUUCCUGGUGUAGAGGUGAAAUUCGUAGAUAUCGGGAGGAACACCGGUGGCGAAGGCGGCGACCUGGGUCGACACUGACGCUGAGGCGCGAAAGCGUGGGGAGCAAACAGG